rnacentral:rRNA from 1 species
AACGAACGCUGGCGGCAUGCCUAACACAUGCAAGUCGAACGGGAUCCAGGCUUCGGCCUGGUGAGAGUGGCGGACGGGUGAGUAACACGUGGGAACCUGCCUUUUGGUUCGGGAUAACCGCGGGAAACUGCGGCUAAUACCGGAUGCUCCCGAGAGGGGAAAGAUUUAUCGCCAGAAGAGGGGCCCGCGUCCGAUUAGGUAGUUGGUGAGGUAAUGGCUCACCAAGCCGACGAUCGGUAGCUGGUCUGAGAGGAUGAUCAGCCACACUGGGACUGAGAUACGGCCCAGACUCCUACGGGAGGCAGCAGUGGGGAAUAUUGGACAAUGGGGGCAACCCUGAUCCAGCAAUGCCGCGUGAGUGAUGAAGGCCUUAGGGUUGUAAAGCUCUUUUGCCAGGGAGAUGAUGACUGUACCUGGAGAAUAAGCCCCGGCUAACUUCGUGCCAGCAGCCGCGGUAAU